UAUAUUUUGAUGAGCUAUACAUUCGGUUAUAGUAUGAAAUGCAAUAUUAAUACUUAGUUGCUAGUAUGUAUAUGUGUGCUAGCCGAAUUUGAACUUGAAUAAUGAUUUGAACACGAUGUAUUGUAUUGAGAUUAUGCUUAAGUGAAAUUAUAGAAUUGUGAUGAAAUUGAUUGGUGAUAUACAUGUUUAAAUAAUAUGAAUGCAAAGAGUUGUGAAAGAGUA
rnacentral:lncRNA from 1 species